rnacentral:lncRNA from 1 species
GUUGGGGUGUCUGUCUGGUAGUGUUGGAGUGUCUGUCUGGUAGUGUUGGGGUGUCUGUCUGAUAGUGUUCGGGUGUCUGUCUGAUAGUGUUGGGGUGUCUGUCUGAUAGUGUUGGGGAGUCUGUCUGGUAGUGUUGGGGUGUCUGUCUGAUAGUGUUGGGGUGUCUGUCUGGUAGUGUUGGGGUGUCUGUCUGAUAGUGUUGGGGUGUCUGUCUGAUAGUGGUGGGCUGUGUGUCUGGACGUGUUGGGGAGUCUGUCUGGUAGUGUUGGGGUGUCUGUCUGAUAGUGUUGAGGUGUCUGUAUGGUAGUGUUAGGGUGUCUGUCUGAUAGUGUUGGGGUGUCUGUCUGAUAGUGUUGGUGUGUCUGUCUGAUAGUGUUGGGCUGUCUGUCUGGUCGUGUUGGGGUAUCUGUCUGGUCGUGUUGGGGUGUCUGUCUGGUAGUGUUGGGGUGUCUGUCUGAUAGUGUUGGGGUGUCUGUCUGGUCGUGUUGGGGUGUCUGUCUGGUAGUGUUGGGUGUCUGUCUGAUAGUGUUGAGGUGUCUGUCAGGUAGUGUUGGGGUGUCUGUCUGAUAGUGUUGGGGUGUCUGUCUGAUAGUGUUGGGGUGUCUGUCUGAUAGUGUUGAGGAGUCUGUCUGGUAGUGUUGGGGUGUCUGUCUGGUAGUGUUGGGGUGUCUGUCUGAUAGUGUUGGGGUGUCUGUCUGGUCGUGUUGGG